rnacentral:rRNA from 1 species
CCAAUAGCGUAUAUUAAAGUUGUUGCAGUUAAAAAGCUCGUAGUUGAAUUUCGGGAUUGACGUGAUGGUCGUGCCUUAAGGGGUAUGAACUGUUGUUGUUGAUUUCUCACCUUCUGGAGAAACUUGAUGUCCUUAAUUGGGUGUCUUGCGGAUCCAGGACCUUUACCUUGAAAAAAUUAGAGUGUUUAAAGCAGGCAUUUUGCUCGAAUACAUUAGCAUGGAAUAAUAGAAUAGGACGGCAUGGUUCUAUUUUGUUGGUUUCUAGGAUCACCGUAAUGAUUAAUAGGGAUAGUUGGGGGCAUUAGUAUUCAAUUGUCAGAGGUGAAAUUCUUGGAUUUAUUGAAGACUAACUACUACGAAAGCAUUUGCCAAGGAUGUUUUCAUUAAUCAAGAACGAAAGUUAGGGGAUCGAAGACGAUCAGAUACCGUCGUAGUCUUAACCAUAAACUAUGCCGACUAGGAAUCAGACGAUGUUAAUUUUUUAAUGACUCGUUUGGCACCUUACG